CUGUAAUGCACUGGGCUGGUGGUAGGGUAAUAAAGUGCCCUGGUUUGCCCUGGACGAAAACCAACAGUGUUUUCUAGAUGCGAGUUAAAACUGGGACUUUCCCGGGCAAAUCAGGAUGAAUUGGUCAUCCUAGCUGAUUAGAGUGUGGGAGUGGGAUGGUUUGGGGGUCUUUUAUAAGCUGCCGUGUUUCAACUGACUAUUGGGUGGGUGAUUGUUUGCACACUUGGGUCAUUCUACCUGCUGGCUCAGGUGACUGAGACCCUUGAACUCCAGUAGGUCCAUGAGCUCUUCCUCUUACUCCUAUGUACCCUGGUUUCUCUGGGCACAAUGCCCAGAGACCAGCCUCGAGGGAAGACCACUGCUCCCAACAAUCCUCCUGGCUUACUUGCCACCAUGCCACUUCCCCUACGUAACGAACCAUUGUUGGGACUAAAGUACAUCCCUUCAGGAAGAAAACAGCAGCUCUCUACUUUGCAUCAGAGUUAGAAAAAAUGAGCUAGACCCUUUUGGCAACCCAUCUUGCAGAUGAGGAAACUGGAUUCUAGGGAAGUUCAGACCUGCCCCUGGAAAAAAGAGCCCAGACCUCAUCAUGAAUGCUGUCCUAGGAGAAAAUGAACAGCUGGAGAAUGCUCCUGAUCAGUAGGCCUGAAGGAUGCUGGGAUACAGCCUUCAAGAUGGAGCAGCCAGGAUGCCAAGUAUCCCUCUUGCCCAGAUCUAAGGCACUUUUUCCUACUGAUCCAUAUUGGCCUCAGGAGAUGUCUCAACACAGCACCCCAGCCAAUGGAGUUGCCACAUAAGAUGAACUUGUGAUCAUCUCUAAACUAGAGAGUUAAACUCAACACUAGUAAAUGACUUUGGGUUUAUGUAUAUGUCAUGUUUUCUCCGGCAACUGCUCAGAAUCAUCUCUAAAUAUCACGUCUAUGGUUGGCAGGAGUGGCAUGUAUAAUACAAAAUGUCUGGUGGCCCUAUUGUCACAAAACCUGUAUAAAAGUAAAUUCACAAAUGGCUUUUUAGAACUGAUGACAAAAAGUUACUCGUUAUCACUUUUCUACUUAAUUUCCUAAAAGGGCAAUUUGAAAUCACACUAGGAUUCUCACAAUUUUGGUUGACACUCAAGUAAACUGCAGCUACUUAUCAAGCACUUUUGAAUGAACAUAUGAAGAAUGAAUAAAAUGAAAGCUCUCCUGUUGCCCUCAGCGUCA
rnacentral:lncRNA from 1 species